rnacentral:rRNA from 1 species
GAUGAACGCUGGCGGCGUGCCUAAUACAUGCAAGUCGAGCGAACAGACGAGGAGCUUGCUCCUCUGACGUUAGCGGCGCACGGGUGAGUAACACGUGGAUAACCUACCUAUAAGACUGGGAUAACUUCGGGAAACCGGAGCUAAUACCGGAUAAUAUAUUGAACCGCAUGGUUCAAUAGUGAAAGACGGUUUUGCUGUCACUUAUAGAUGGAUCCGCGCCGCAUUAGCUAGUUGGUAAGGUAACGGCUUACCAAGGCAACGAUGCGUAGCCGACCUGAGAGGGUGAUCGGCCACACUGGAACUGAGACACGGUCCAGACUCCUACGGGAGGCAGCAGUAGGGAAUCUUCCGCAAUGGGCGAAAGCCUGACGGAGCAACGCCGCGUGAGUGAUGAAGGUCUUCGGAUCGUAAAACUCUGUCAUUAGGGAAGAACAAAUGUGUAAGUAACUAUGCACGUCUUGACGGUACCUAAUCAGAAAGCCACGGCUAACUACGUG